AUUGGUGCUUGCAUCAUGAUUUACAUUUGAGUGAGUGGCGAACUGGUGAGUAACACGUGGGAAACCUGCCCAGAAGCGGGGGAUAACACCUGGAAACAGAUGCUAAUACCGCAUAACAACUUGGACCGCAUGGUCCGAGUUUGAAAGAUGGCUUCGGCUAUCACUUUUGGAUGGUCCCGCGGCGUAUUAGCUAGAUGGUGAGGUAACGGCUCACCAUGGCAAUGAUACGUAGCCGACCUGAGAGGGUAAUCGGCCACAUUGGGACUGAGACACGGCCCAAACUCCUACGGGAGGCAGCAGUAGGGAAUCUUCCACAAUGGACGAAAGUCUGAUGGAGCAACGCCGCGUGAGUGAAGAAGGGUUUCGGCUCGUAAAACUCUGUUGUUAAAGAAGAACAUAUCUGAGAGUAACUGUUCAGGUAUUGACGGUAUUUAACCAGAAAGCCACGGCUAACUACGUGCCAGCAGCCGCGGUAAUACGUAGGUGGCAAGCGUUGUCCGGAUUUAUUGGGCGUAAAGCGAGCGCAGGCGGUUUUUUAAGUCUGAUGUGAAAGCCUUCGGCUCAACCGAAGAAGUGCAUCGGAAACUGGGAAACUUGAGUGCAGAAGAGGACAGUGGAACUCCAUGUGUAGCGGUGAAAUGCGUAGAUAUAUGGAAGAACACCAGUGGCGAAGGCGGCUGUCUGGUCUGUAACUGACGCUGAGGCUCGAAAGUAUGGGUAGCAAACAGGAUUAGAUACCCUGGUAGUCCAUACCGUAAACGAUGAAUGCUAAGUGUUGGGAGGGUUUCCGCCCCUUCAGUGCUGCAGCUAACGCAUUAAGCAUUCCCGCCUGGGGGAGUACCGCCGCCAGGGCUGAAACUCAAAAGGAAUUUGACGGGGGGCCCCCCACAAGCGGGAGAA
rnacentral:rRNA from 1 species